GCUACAGGAAUCACCCCGCUACAGACAGGUCUGCCCACACCCUGCCAAGGUCCCCAGUCACGCAGAACACAUGCCGAAUCAGCCCGCUGCACACAGGAAGGUCUGUGCAUGCCCUACCGAUGUCCUGAGUCUCCCGGAAGACACCGAAUCACCCCGCUGCAGACAGCCAGCCACCUGAUUCCACACUACAAAGACGCAGAGGACACCAGGCCACCAGACCAAGUGACAACUCCUGGCUAGAGGGGUGUGUGUGAGAGACAGGGCCAUGUGCUCUGGCAACGCCUGUACUCCCCCAGUUCCAGCACCACAAGAUCCCUCCAGCACUCACUCCUGGGUUGAUGAGCGCCACUGUCAGGGACCAGCCACCCAAGAAAGAGAAACUGCCCAUUGACCCAAAAGAGAGAAGGAGGGCCAGACUCCUGGGAAUGUAAAAGAAACACAACUCACUCGGUGG
rnacentral:lncRNA from 1 species